UACAGAGGUCUCGAGCGUUAGGCGGAAUCACUGGGCUUAAAGCGUGUGUAGGUGGAUGCCUAAGUACCUUGUGAAAUCCCACAGCUUAACUGUGGAACUGCUUGGUAUACUGGGUGUCUUGAGUCACUCAGGGGCGAGCGGAACAAAUGGUGGAGCGGUGAAAUGCGUAGAUAUCAGGAGGAACACCCGUGGCGAAAGCGGCUCUCUGGGACGGUACUGACGCUGAGACGCGAAAGCGUGGGGAGCAAACAGG
rnacentral:rRNA from 1 species